ACGAUGGAUGCAGCUGCCAGAGCUGCGGCUGUUUCUGCCGCAACUUCUGUGCCAGGAAACGUUUGGUUGAUUUGGAGAAGAGGUCUUUCCUCCGUCAUUUCUUCUGGUCUUUCCCAACAUUUGUGGUCUAUUUUUGGAUCUCCCACCUAUAUUGGGAAUUAAAAAUCAAUAAUCAACAACACAUGAUUUAUCAAUAGAUAAUUAUAUAUUUAUAUAUAUUACCUGUACGAAGAGAACAUUCUUUCUAGGAUUUGCGUUAACAAGAUAAUCUGUGAUCCACUUAAGAGCGUCUCUGGUGUUUAUCAAUUCGCCAACAAGAAUCAUAUUGGAGUGAUAUUCAAGAAUCGCCCAUGACAGAACUGUCGCUGUGAAUGCCAUCGGAAAACCAAACUUUACAUGGUCUCCGGCAUCGUACAUUCCCUUGGAGAGAUCCAACAUCUCGUACUUCCCAUCACUAAGCGCCGAGUCCCCUCUCCAUGGGAUCAUAUCAUUCAUCAGUUUCCCAGCUAGACGUACCGAUCCAGGGUUAUAUUGAUCGAAUAUUAAUUGAAUUCAUGAUAAUUAAGGUAUUAAAUAUUAACAUAGAAGCUAGGCACAGACGUACACACAUUUUUGGACGUCGAAGAAUUUCAAGGCGACGGAGAGGGCUUCAGAAUAUUUCUUCUUUGUGACGAUAUCUUGAGGAUCUAGGGUCGGUGGAUUAAUGUUACCGGAAGAUUUGUCUAAACUCGUCUUCAUACAAAUAGCUAGAAUCAUGAUCAUUGAAACACCAAAUGAAAAUGCUAUAAUAGGUCUUCUCCAACGAAGCCAAAACGUCGACAUUGUUGUAGAGGAAGGAGAAACAACCAAUCAAACGAGAUUACGGUGAUAUGAUCGACAAUAUAUUGGUGUCUUGGAAGGAAUGAUUUGUGAAGAAGAUGAAGAUGAAUUGUGGAAUGGAACUCGUCUGUUCUAUAUUAGGUUCUUUUUCUAUUUAUAAUCCAUAUACAAUGCUAAAUUAGUGGAAUUCCAUCAAUUAUGACGUAUCCCUAAAUAAAUGGAGAUUACAACAUAUUUCCUAUAUUAACUUAUUGCUAAUCAAUGGAGAAUUAUCUCGCAAGAUUGGCUCGUUGAAGUUCAAAGCUUUGGUCAGAAAAUCAUCUCAGUAGGCUCCCGAAAUCUGCUACGAAGCACGAUUUAUCUCAGAGCUAAUAUAUGACGAAGCACGAAAUCUGCUACCAGUAGGCUCGCGGGGUUGCGAGGAGGGCCGGAGGCUUUGGAGUUCACGACGCGCGCUCUACGUCAAAUACCUGCAGAAGUGGAGGGGAGUUGGCGACUCAGGUGUGGGAGUCGGCGACUCAGGCUCCUUGGUUUGCUCUGGUUGGGGUCUGUCAAGUGGGAAUGACUUAGGAGUGGAGGACCCCCAAGGACCCCUUUUAUAGGGUCCUGGGGGCGUUUUCCCAUUCAUUAGCGUGGGGCUCACUCCAUUAUGGUGCCCAAUUAAGGGUGUCAUAAUGACGUGGGCCCUCUCAAGUAACGGUUGGGAAUCGGCGACUCAGGUAUGAGAGUCGCCGAUUCAGAGGUGGAGUCGUCGACUCCCUUGUGGUCAGGUCCUCGGUCUACCAUACCCGAGUGCCCUGUUUGGAGUCGGCGAUUCACCCCUGGAAUCGGUGACUUGGUAGUCCCAGUCGGCGAUUCUCAGGUGUUGCCUUGAGUACUUGACGUAGACACUUGCUCCGCACCGUGGAUGCCUUCCGGGGGUCCGGCGUAAAGCGAAGGAACCCUAGUACUUGUUGAGGGACGAUGCUGGGAGUGACUGACGUAAUCAGGCAUGUCUCACCAGUAUGCAUGAAUAAAGAACAUAAUAACUGUCUUGGUUAUUUGCCGAAAUCACUAUUGUUGAUCAUUCUCACAUCCUUCAUCAUGGUUAGAACUAGUCAAUCCCUUCCUUCCAUGUUCUCGUCCUCCACUACGAAUGCUGUUCCGAUCAUCAAUAUGGUAUAUAUCAGAGCAUUGUCCGAUCCUAGGACCACUCCACUCCCAACAUUUCCGCUACUAACCGGCCCUUAGACGUCGCUGGAACCCCUCGUCGGAACCUCAUCUUUUGGUUCAAUUCAGAGCUUCCCUCAUAUCAAGUUCACGACGACAAACUACCUCAUCUGGACCAAGCUUCGACCUCACUCCUUCUUUGUUUUUUCUAUAUUAACAUAAUUAAUUAAUAUUUGAAUAAUUUAAAUAUAAAAUAUUAAUAAUUACCAAUUCAUGACGUCGUUGCGCUAAUCUUUUUAAACCAGUAUGAUUAUUAGAGUAACUAAUAAUGUAACUAACUAACAAUGUAUCUAAGUUAGUUACUGCCUAAAUCAAUUACAGAAUGUAAUUAUAAAUAUAACUCUUGGAUGAUUAAUAAAGAUAACUUUUCUGGUCAACGUUAUAUGGUAUCGAGCUACAAGUUUUUUUUGUUUUAGCGAUGACUGGAGACUCGAAUGCUCCGGCAAUGGCUUCCGCAACUCAGAUUGCGACGAUGACGUCCACGCGACCGACGCUAAUUAAGAUUAAGCAUUUUAGCACUAUGCGCUUAGAUAGGUCAAACUAUUUUACCUGGAAGACCCAGACUCUGGCGCACCAUCGAGGUUAUGAACUCCUCUGGUUCAUUGAGGAAGCGGUGACGGAAUCGGACCCGUCCUUGGCACAACAAGACCAGCUACUGCUGUCAUGGUUGUUUUCGACGAUCUCUGCGUCGGUACUGCCGCAGGUGACUGGGUACAGAACGUCCAGGGAUGCCUGGGUUGUCUUGGAAGAAAUCUUCAAUACAAGAUCAAGGUCACAGAUUCUCUACCUGAAAAAUCAGCUACAAAAUCUUCGCAAGGAUGAUCUCUCCAUUGACGAAUAUGUGGCAAAGUUAACCACUAUGGCCGAAGAGCUUCGGGAGGCCGGUGUUUCAAUUGAUGAAGGUGAUCGAACUCUCGUUAAUAGCUCUAAAUGGCCUUGAUGCACAAUACGAUCCUUUUGUAACUGCUCAAACGGCUAGGAUGGAUGAAAUAAGUUUCUCUUCUUUUCUUGGUCUUCUCCGGUCGUAUGAGGCACGUCUUCAACGCACCGUCGAUACACGCAUCUCGACUGCGAAUGCUGUGCAACGUUCUGAAGCAACGAAUGGCGCAAGUGUGGCCGCGGUUAUCACAUGUCAAAUCUGUUCCAAGAGGGGACAUUCGGCCAUCGCGUGCUUCAAUCGGCACAAUGAACAACGCUUCCUGGCGCAACAGUCAAAAUCUAGGAAUCGCUUCAAGGGAUCUAGGUCGUCGAACACGAAUUCAAGUGCCAAUGUGGUUUGGUACCCGAAUACAAGGGCCUUCAAUCAUGUUACAACCGAUCUUGGAAAUCUUCAGGUAGCAGACGCGACACCAGCUGCAAAAUCGGUCACAAUAGCUAAUGGCAGGUAAAGUUUUGCCUAUUUUUCGCACUGGAUCUUCCGAUUUUCGAAUUGGAUCCCGAUCCAUUCAUCUUAGUCAUAUCUUGCACGCGUCUGGAAUAAAGAAAAGCUUAUUGUUUGUGAAUAAACUACGCAAUGAUAACAAUAUUUAAUUCCAAUUUGAUGACAAAAGUGUUUCUGUAAAGGACCGGAGGACAAGUGAGGUAGUUGUAGUCGGGAAAGCAAGGAACGAGCUCUAUGAACUGGACCUAAAGGAAGAAGAAGGAAACAGGGCUCCGGUGGUAAAUCUGUGUGAACGAGUACCGCUUGAAGUUUGGCAUCGCCGGUUUAGUCAUGUUUGUGAAAAUAAAACAAGAAAAUUGGUCAGUCUGUAUGAUUUACCAGUGUGAAAUAGAAAAUUUAAUUCUUGCAAAGACUGUAUGAUUUCGAAAGCACACAGAUUACCAUACUUCUCAACACACAAAAUCUCUUCCUCUCCACUAGAAUUAAUCUAUAUAGAUGUUUGGGGUCCGACACCUCAGUCUGCGUUGGAUGGUUCAAGAUACUAUUUACCAUUAGUCGAUGAUUACUCAAAGUUAAGUUGGUUUUUCCCGAUGAGAAAUAAAUCAAAAGUCAAAGAAAUUGUUGUCAAUUUUCAAGCCAGAAUCGAGAAAUCAACGGGUAAAUUCAUCAAAUCGUAAAUUUGAUUCAGUUUGUGGCUUAUCUCGAAAAAUUUCUGAAAAUUUAAAAAAUAAGAAAUAAUAAUGAUACGUCAUUGCUGGAGAUAGGUGAUUUAACGAAGGAGUUGCUGGAGCGUCGCCGACGUGAGGAGGAGCAGAGGUCCGACGACCUAAUUUCUGAAAUUGGAGAUGGCGGAGGUCUGGGGCCGUUUGGGGAAGAACCGGGUCUAACCAGCUCUAGACCGGCUCGAGAGAGAAGGGCACCAGGCUAGACUAAAGAUUUCGUGAUGGACUCAGCCCAUUAGCUGAAUUAAUCUUUUAAAUGGUUAAAGGGGUUAUUUGCUGAAAGACCUUAAGUUUUUAUUUUAUUUUAAUUUCGUCCUAUAGUAUAAAGGACUGUAAUGAAUGAUUUAGGGAAUCAAUUAAGAAAUCAAUUAAGAAACCGUUUUGCUGUCAAAUCACCAGCAACGGCCUCCCUUCCGACCUAGGUCGAGUUCACCUCCGAUCACCCUACCGACACCGCCGCUCUCCAUCCGAUCAGCCCACUGAUCUCGCCGUAUCAAGCAUUCUACCGGUCAGCUUAACAGCUAAUCACCGGAAGAACUCAAUCUUGAUUUCAGGAGUAUAUCUCUGAAGUCUGAGCUUAGGAUAUUCUUGAUCUACGAUCAGGGAUCCGAAGCACCUCGUAACAUCAGGUCUAUCUCCCCAUUUUGCUUCCUAAUUAAAUAGGUUGCAUCAUUUGGUGCUUUCAACUUUUUUUUUUUUGAAACUCACUUUACAGGAUGACAACAAUCGAUCUGGCAGCACAUUGAUACGAUGGGUAUUACUUAUGAGAUGAUAUCCAAUGAUGUUCAGAGGAAGAUCAAAGCAGGGGACGCUAAAUCCCUAACUGGAACCGAAUUGGGGGAGGACGACGGUCUGGAGCAGUUUAACUCCCACGAACCCGGUCAGACUCAAGUUGGUGUGAAGAAAUCGGACCGCAUACGAAAGAGGCCGAGCCAUCUUUCGGAUUACGUUGUGGGCUGAGAUGCUGUGAAUUAGUCCAGCAAGUAGAAAGUUAAAUUUAAAUAAAUUGCAGAACAGACCUUAAGUUUAAUUAAAAGUUGUAAUAGGUCAGUAGUAUAAAUGCUGUAAUGAUUGGGGAAAUCAAUAUCGAAAAUUGAACCAGAAUAUUCCGCCUCCUCUCAAUUUCACAACGCAAAAACCCUCCAUCAGGCAUCUCUGUCGACAUCGUUGCCGGAUCUACUUCAACAUCAAGCCGCAUUGAGCACUUUGUUGAUUGGCUUAACAACAUUAAUCAAUCAGGGCUGAGACUCAAUAUCAGGGAAUUUCUCCCGCAGUGUGAGCCUUGGACACCUAGGAUCUUUGAUCUUAGAUCUAAGGCAUCUUCGACCCUCAGGUCAAGUUGUUUCGAUUAAUUGAAAGGUUUAGAACCUUAUCACUGGUGCUUUCAAUAUUUGAUAUCUUAUUUUCAGGAUGACUACUUUGGAUUUAACAACAAAUUCAGAUUUUCAAAGAUUACAAACAUUACAAAUGUCUCAAAUCAAAGAAAUGAAUGAAUUCAGAAACAAUGUCAACAAUAAUUUUCUGGAAUUAGGAAGGCAGAUUGGUGAAAUCUGUGCUACAAUUAAAGGGAGACCCCCAUAUCAGAAUAUCAACAAGAGCUGCUAUGAAAAUGAGGAAAAAACAGAAAAUAAAACAAAAUCCCAAAAUCCAUUCUACCAGUUAGUAGUGGACCUAGACAAUCCCGAUUAUGCCAGCAGUAUCAUGAAUACUGACUCUUACUCUCCUACCAAGCAUAUAAAGGUCAACAUGCCAAGGUUUGAUGGCAAAGAUGUAGAAGGAUGGCUAUUCUUAGUAAGAAGGUAUUUUAUAUUUAAUAAAAUCCCAGAAGAUCAGAAACUUCCUAUUGUUUCAUUUCACCUAGAUGGUAUAGCAAAAAAAUGGUUCGCUUGGCUUGAAGCAAGCAAUAUGUUAUCAUCAUGGAAGAAUUUUGUAGAUACAGUUAUUAGAAAAUUCACAACCUGGCAUUACUCACUACCAGGUGGCAAGUUAAGCAAGCUGUGUCAAGAAGGAACAGUGGCUGAAUAUCAAACUUUAUUUGAAGAGCUGUGCACAAGGGUACUAGGGCUGCUUGAGCAUUUUAUUCUAGAAAUGUACAUCUCGGGUCUCAAAGAAGAAAUUCAGAUGGAUGUGAUGAGAGGCAAACCAUCUGACAUACAUGAGGCAUUUGAGCUAUCACUCAUGUUUGAAGCCAGAAAAUCAGGCUUUAAAGGGAACAACAAGCCUUUUUACACCAAACCAUUCAUACCCAAGACUACAUCAUUCACACCCAAAAAUGAUCAGACUGGAGAAAACACAAAGGAUACUGCCAUACCAGCACCUGUAUUUAAAAGACUAUCUCCUGAGGAGAGAAAGGAGAGGACAGCUAAAGGGUUGUGUUUUAACUGCGAUGACAAAUUUAUUCCCGGCUAUAAAUGCAAAGGAAUUUUUUUCAGAUUAUCAACUGAUGAGUCUUGUUUUUGGGAGAUGGUAGAUGAAGAAGAGAUGGUUGAGGAAGAGCCUGAAAAUAUUAGCACUGAAGAGAAAGAAAUCUGUUAUCACGUGUUUGAAGGACAUAUCAAUGCUGCAACAAUCAGACUAGAUGGCUUUAUAAAGAGUCAGUGUGUUAGUGUGCUGCUAGACACAGGUUUUGCACAUAACUUCAUGCAAACAGAGGUAGCUACAACACUAAAGGUAGUAUCUCAUGUCAUUGUUCCAUUUAAAGUGUCUACUGGAAGUGGGAAACUAAUUUGUGAGGCAGUUUGCAAAGAGGUAGAGAUAAAAAUUCAGAAUACAAUUGUGAAGAUGGAUAUUUUCUUACUUCAGAUGGAAGGAGCCAAUGUAGUUAUUGGGAUCCAAGGAUUAAAAACAUUGGGACCAGUCACUUUUAAUUUUGAUGAACUUAAUAUAUCCUUUCACAAAAAUGAAAAACAGAUUAUUUGGCAAGGAUGUCCAUGGGUUUCUGAGGACCCUUUGUCUGUGGGACAAUUAAAAUGUCUUAUUGCAUCAACACAAGAAGCAUACUUAUGCUACAUGGAGAAGGUAGAAGAAAAUGAAAAAGUUCCCAUGAUGAAUUCAAACAGCCAAGAAGUUACUAAAAUAGUGCAAGAAUAUAAUGACAUUUUUGAGUCUCCAACAGGGUUGCCACCCCAAAGAGACAGAGAUCAUUUUAUACACCUGGAUUGUAAUGCAAACCUUGUCAAUGUGAGACCUUAUAGGUACCCACAAUUCCAGAAAUCAGAAAUUGAAAGAUUAGUGGCAGAAAUGCUAAAUCAGGAGAUCAUCAAGCCUAGCAACAGUCCAUACUCAUCCCCAACAUUAUUAGUAAAAAAGAAGGAUGGGGGUUAUAGAUUGUGUGUGGACUAUAGGGCUUUAAAUGCUCUAACUAUCAAAGAUAAGUUCCCUAUUCCUACUGUGGAUGAGCUUUUAGGGGAACUUAAGGGAUCUAAUUUUUUUUCAAAAUUAGAUCUAAGAUCUGGAUUCCACUAGAUCAGAGUGCACCCACCACACACUAAAAGGAGAGCAUUCAGGACACACCAGGGGCAUUUUGAAUUCUUAGUGAUGCCAUUUGGGCUCACAAAUGCACCAACAACCUUCCAAUCAGUUAUGAACUCAGUUUUUGAGAAAUAUUUAAGAAAGUUUGUUAUUAUAUUUUUUGAUGACAUAUUAGUAUUCAGCUCAUCAUUACAGGACCAUCUCACAUAUUUACAGAAAGUAUUUGAAACUCUGAGGGAAAACAGACUACUAGCAAAGCGGUCCAAAUGUUCAUUUGGGAAAGAAUCUAUGGGUUUCUUGGGACACAUUAUUAAAUCUGAUGGGGUACAUCCUGACCCUGAAAAGAUAACAGCAAUGGUGGAAUGGCCAAUUCCAAAGAACCUUAAAAUGCUAAGGGGAUUCUAGGGGCUGACUGGCUACUAUAGGAGGUUCAUUAAGAGCUAUGCUCAGAUAGCUGCUCUUAUGACAGAUUUGUUGAAGAAAGACUCUUUUAAAUGGGGUGACAUAGCCCAAGAUAGCUUUGAGAAAUUAAAAACUGCCAUGGUAUCAGCUUCAGUACUGAGGUACCCUGACUUUAGUCAACAGUUUAUUGUUGAGACAGAUGCUUGCAACAAUGGGGUAGGGGCAGUAUUAAUUCAGAAUAAGCACCCUAUAUCAUUUUUCUGCAGAAAAAUAACGGGUAAACUCAGUUCAGCAGCAAUCUACGUGAAGGAAAUGUAUGCUAUAACACAUGCAGUAGCCAAGUGGAGACACUACCUAUUGGGAUCUCAUUUCCUGAUUAAAACUGAUCAUAGAAGUCUGAAAAACCUCCUAACUCAAGUGAUUCAGACACCUGAGCAGCAAAUGUUUUUGGUAAAAUUGUUGGGAUUUGAUUUUAGCAUACUGUAUAAGCCAGGCAAGGAAAACAUCGUGGCCGAUGCUCUAUCCAGAUCGUUUGAGGAAGGAGAGAGUGAAGAAAUUAUAUUCUCUAGUGGAGCUGAAGGGAAACCAGAGUCCUUAUUAUCAUUCUCCAUUUCUAUAAAUGACUUGCUAGAAGAAAUUAAGAAAGAAAAUGAAGAAGAUCCCAAGGUACAGAGUAUUAUUAACACCUCUAUAGAGGAAGGCCAGGAUUUUAAUGGGUAUAAGGUGAAAUCAGGAUUUUUUUUUUUUAAGGGCAGAUAUUAUAUAAAACAGGAUUCAACACUUAUUUCCAAGAUCCUGGGAGAAUUUCACAACUUAUUAGCAGGAAUGCAUGCUGGUGUAAUGAAGACUAAGAAGAGAAUAUGCAAGCUAUUCUAUUGGCCUAAAAUGGGACUGGAUAUAUAUAAUUAUGUAAAAAAUUGCAUAAUCUGUCAGAAGAUGAAACCUUCCAACCAGAAACCAUCUGGCUUACUCAUGCCUCUACCUAUACCAUCUACCACAUGGAAAGAUGUAAGCAUAGACUUCAUAACUGAUUUACCAAAAAAAGAAGGAAAAACUGUAAUAAUGGUGGUAGUGGAUCGUUUAUCCAAGUAUGCUCACUUCAGUGCACUACCUACAAAUUUCAAUGCUGUCAAAGUAGCAGAGGUGUUUCUGAGGGAUAUUAUUAAACUUCAUGGGAUACCCACCUCAAUUGUAUCAAAUAGGGAUAGAAUUUUCACUUCCAAAUUUUGGAAGGAAUUGCACAAACUAAGUGGAACUAAACUAUCCUACUCUUCAGCCUACCAUCCAGAAACUGAUGGCCAGACAGAAGUGGUAAAUAGAACUCUGAAAAUGUACCUAAGGUCAUACUGUCAUGAUGACCCCAAGCAAUGGUUAAGGUUGCUGCCUUGGGCAGAACUGUGGUAUAACUCCGGAUAUCACUCAUCUCUUGGAAUGUCACCAUUCAAGGUUGUUUAUGGCAAAGAGGCUGGUGAAUUACCUCAUUAUAUUGAAGGAGAGUCACAAGUGGAAUCAGUAGAUAUGAUGUUAAAUUUGAGAGAAGAAACACUAGAAAUUAUGAAGAGAAAUCUACUAAAAGCUCAGGCAAGAAUGAAGUCCCAAGCCGAUAAAAAGAGAUCUGAAAUUAUAUUUGAAGUAGGAGCCUUGGUUCUGGUUAAAUUGCAGCCAUAUAGGCAAAAUUCAGUGGCCAACAGAACUCACAACAAAUUAUGUCAAAAGUACUUUGGUCCUUAUGAGAUUGAAAAGGUAAUAAACAAGGCUGCUUACAGAUUGAAACUCCCUGAAGGAAGCAAGAUACAUAACACCUUCCACGUUUCCAGAUUGAAGGCUUUCUGUGGUCCAAUUCCGAAAAAUCUGUCCAAGGAAGAUCCAAUAGUAGCAAUCAACAAUCAAUCCAUUUCUUACCCAAUUGCAAUACUGGAUAACAGGGUUAUAUGGCAAGGAAAGAAAAAGGUAAAGCAGGUAUUAAUUCUAUGGAACGGCGCCUUACCUGAAGACUCAUCUUGGGAGUCAGUUGUGGAUAUCGCGAACAGGUUUCCUUUUUUAAACCUUGAGGACAAGGUUGUUUCGGAAGAGGGUGGUGAUAAUUAAAUAGGUUGCAUCAAAUAACUUAAAAAUUUAUUAAUAUCAAAUAAAUAUAUCCUUAUACCUUUCAUUUUUCCGAUCUUACUUGUCUCAAUUUAUUCAAAAAUUGAGAUUUGCUGACAUGAGACGGAAGAAUUGCUAAAAUUUCUUCUUCACUCAUAUUUGGAUCUCAGCCAUAUUGUUUUAUCAAAGAAUUAUGAUUGUUUUUCCAAAGUUUGUUUAACUUAUGAUUGAUAUAAGUUUGUACCGCUUAACUUUCACUCAAAUCAUAUUCAUCCUAUAUAUUCAAAACUUAUGAGUUUUGAAAAAUUAAUAAAUAUUUAAAUGAGCACGUGUAUAUAUAUUCUUACAGUUAAUAUUUUCAACGCGUCUCGAAAAUUCUGUUUAGGUUGAUGACGUCACUCAAUGUGUACGGAAAUAGUGAUUGUCUUUUGCUAAAUGACCCAUCCGUAUAAUCAAUUUCUUUGCUAUUUCGUCUAUCGCUUGGUUUGUAUCAUCGAACAUAACUUCCCAUUUUGUACCUGAUUCUAGAUGGUUAUGGGGGUGGUCUUUCGUGCAACUACGACUCUUUUUCUUCGGAGGAAUAUUAGAUAUGGAUGGUGUACAUCUAAUUUACAUAUUUAAUAUUUAAUAAAAUGAUAAUAUUAUAAUUUUAAAAAAUACAAACCACCACUUUCAAAGUCACGACCGGAUGUAACCAUCGUUAAUGUCAGAAACGGUGCGAUAACACAGGCGAAAACGAAAAAAGUAAACAUAAUCUAAAAUAUUACAAUUUUAAAAUAAAAUUAGUUAAUUCAAAUACAUACCUAAACACCCGUAUGCGGGAUUUUAGUCUGAUACAACAACCAAACAUUUUUUCUAUUAUAAUUUACAUUGUUUAUUAUCAUACACAACAAAUCUUCGAAAUCGUCGUGAGGAGAGUUGUAUUCAAUUUUGAAUGAAUAUGUGUCUCUAUAAUCAUUCAACACUCUUGUUUCAUAUCCUAACACUAAAAUUUGACUAGUUUUUAUUGUUUGAGGAUUUUUCGAUUAUAUUUUAGAACAAUCGUGAAAAUGAUGACCGUUGACUCCACAACGGAAACAAACAAAAACACGACAAUAAUAAUUUAUGUUUUUGUAAAAACUACGUUGAAUCCGACUUAGUCGCUCAAGUCGUUCAUAUCAUUCGACGAUUGCAAAUAGUUGAAUCAUUUUUUAUUGAAAAAAAAAGAAUUUUUUUACAAUCAUCAUAUUAUAUUAGAGCCAGCUUCUAAUGAAAACCUAAUAUGUGAGAAUUAUUUGAAAACUUUAGAUCUAGACCAUUACAUCUUGAUUUAAGGGUGAUCUUUUUAUUUUAUAUUUAAUUUAUAUAAGGGUGAUAAUCCCCAUAUAUGUAGUAUUUUUUAUGUGAUUUUUCUCUCACUACAUUCUUUUAUCCCAUGUUUAUUUUACUUUUCAUUUUUUUCAUUACUUUACCAUUUUCUCUCACCACAUCAUAUUUUCUUUCUCAACCUUCUUCUUCUCCUCUUCCUUCCUCCUUUCACCAUUUUCUCAACCAUCGUAUCUUCCUCUAACCAUCUAAUCCCUAACGUUUUGGAACUAUACACUAUCGAAAUAUGCAAUGUCGGACUAUGUACUAUCGAAUUAUACAAUGUCGGACUAUACACUAUCGAACUAUGCACUGUCAUUACACACUUUACCAUUUUCUGUCACCACAUCAUAUCUUCUUCUUCAACCUUCUUCUUCUCCUCUUCCUUCCUCCUUUUACCAUUUUCUCAACCAUCGAAUCUUCCACUAACUAUCUAAUCCCUAACGUUUUGGAGCUCUGCACUAUCAAACUAUGCAAUGUCGGACUAUGCACUAUUGAAUCAUGCAAUGUCGGACUAUACACUAAUACUAUCGAACUAUGCACUGUCAUUGCGAUAGUAAUUAAAUUAUUUUUUCAUUUCUAUGUAACACUAUUUAUGUUAUUUAAAAAUUGUAAAAAUGUUAAUUAUUAUUUUUAAUUUUAUAAAGAUGGUAAACAACUAAACAUAAGAUAGAAUGGUGGAUGUUUUAAUUUUUUUUUGACUAUUUGUAAUGUUUUUAAUUAUUAAAGUAUUUAACUAUUAUAAAUUUAUAAUUGACAGAAUAUCCCGGCUCGGCCCGGCCCGUAUAGGUGAUCAUUGGGGUUGAGUCCUUAAAUAGAUGUCAAAUAAUUUUAAUCGAUUUAAGGGAUCAUUCACUACAAAAAACCAACGCAUAUAAGAACUUGAUAAACAUGUAACUUACAUUGAUGUUAAGAAAACAGUAUGUGAACGACAAUUAAAAUGAAUAAAUGGAUGGUUGUACGUGCAUGAAAAAUCAGAAAUCAACGAUGGAUUAUCUCUCAUGAAUAUAUAAAAUAGUACGUUUAUCUCUACAUAACUACAUACAAUUGUCUCAAAAAAAAAUUUACGAAGCAAUAAUGAAACCAGAUUACAUGUCUAAUUAAACAACAUAUGACUAAAAACCAGGCGUGGCCGAAAGGGGGUGAACCAAGCCAGAAAGAAGACCAACGAGUGCAGCCGUGUUGUAUGUCUUGGGUUCGGCUUGCAUGGAGUUAUUUCGGAAAUCAAUAUAGGAGUCAUUUUUAAAAGGUCCGCCAACAAGUGCACCCACAGCAACAUUGGGGUUAGGUUCUUCAGAAGUGAACCAUUUGUAGCCCUUGCAACCUGUUUCGACCUCUGCAGGUAUGGAAGCUCCUCUAUGGUGCACCUGUUUAGGAUAAUCCUCUGUAUACCCAACAAGAUAACUGAGCUGCAUUGGAUUGUUUCCGAGUAUGUAAUCGGCUUGCGAUUUGGCGAAUCGACGAAUGUCUUUCGACGUGAAAUCCUUGUCGUGGCAUUUGAUGGAAUCUGUUUUCGAAGUUUUCAUAUAGUCGCUGAAGAGCAGGGUAAUGAAUGAUGCAGAAACCGAGUGUUGGAGGGAACCAUUCUCUUGUAUCCACAACAACCCUUCUGAAAUUCGUUUAAUUUACUUAUAAUAUUUCAUUUCGUCACAGCCAAAUCCUAAGCCUAAGUCGAUUUACGUACCUUUGGUUCUGCUGUCGGAGGCGAUUGGAGAAUCGGGCAAAAAUUGGCAUAUCAUCAAUUCUGCUGAUUCUCUGUACUUUUGCAGACCUUCGGUUUCUUCUAUGGUGUACACUCCGUCUUCGUCAAGGAAGCUUGUUCGAGACAAAAGGACCUGUGAAGAUUGAAAUCAUCAAGUCUAAUGCAUAUAUAUAUUUAUUAUUUAUCCAUAGUCUAUGGGAUUAUAUAUAUAGAAUAGUUAGAUCAAACUUUACUUGAGUACCGGCGAGUUUGUCGUCCCAGCUGAACCAUGUUGACCUCCCCCAGUCGGCAAAAGAUUUUCUAUGUUUAACAGUGACAUAUUGUAGGUAGGAGUCUUUUCCAGUAGCAUGAUAGAGCCAGACGGCCGCCCAUAGAAGUUCGUCUGUGUAACCACUAGAAUUGUAGUACGGCUGAACUUGAGGUAUAUUAAUGCUGUAAGAUCCUUUGAAUUCAUCGGCGAAACUGAACAAAGACUCUGAAUGUUUGAGGAGGAGAGUAGAAUAUGAUGGAUCUCCACGCCUGAACACGAUGGAUGCAGCUGCCAGAGCUGCGGCUGUUUCUGCCGCAACUUCUGUGCCAGGAAACGUUUGGUUGAUUUGGAGAAGAGGUCUUUCCUCUGUCAUUUCUUCUGGUCUUUCCCAACAUUUGUGGUCUAUUUUUGGAUCUCCCACCUAUUGGGAAUUAAAAAUCAAUAAUCAACAACACAUGAUUUAUCAAUAGAUAAUUAUAUAUUUAUAUAUAUUACCUGUACGAAGAGAACAUUCUUUCUAGGGUUUGCGUUAACAAGAUAAUUUGUGAUCCACUUAAGUGUGUCUCUGGUGUUUAUCAAUUCGCCAAUAAGAAUCAUAUUGGGGUGAUAUUCAAGAAUCGCCCAUGACAGAACUGUCGCUGUGAAGGCCAUCGGAAAACCAAACUUUACAUGAUCUCCGGCAUCGUACAUUCCCUUGGAGAGAUCCAACAUCUCGUACUUCCCAUCACUAAGCGCCGAGUCCCCUCUCCAUGGGAUCAUAUCAUUCAUCAGCUUCCCGGCUAGACGUACCGAUCCAGGGUGAUAUCGAUCGAAUAUUAAUUGAAUUCAUGAUAAUUAAGGUAUUAAAUAUUAACAUAGAAGCUAGGCACAGACGUACAUACAUUUUUGGACGUCGAAGAAUUUCAAUGCGACGGAGAGGGCUUCAGAAUAUUUCUUCUCUGUGACGAUAUCUUGAGGACCUAGGGUCGGUGGAUCAAUGUUACUGG
rnacentral:lncRNA from 1 species